rnacentral:rRNA from 1 species
GACGUAGGGCGCGAGCGUUGUCCGGAUUUAUUGGGCGUAAAGAGCUCGUAGGCGGCUUGUCGCGUCGACUGUGAAAACCCGUGGCUCAACCAUGUGGUCUGCAGUCGAUACGGGCAGGCUAGAAUUCGGUAGGGGAGACUGGAAUUCCUGGUGUAGCGGGGAAAUGCGCAGAUAUCAGGAGGAACACCGGUGGCGAAGGCGGGUCUCUGGGCCGAUAUUGACGCUGAGGAGCGAAAGCGUGGGGAGCGAACAGG